rnacentral:rRNA from 1 species
AUGAAGGAAGUCAUGAGAGUGCUUUUUGUGCCAACAUACUAUAACUGCGACCUCUUCAAGAUACUACAACUCCUCAACCAAGGAACAAAGAGCGUUGAAGAACACUACAAGGAAAUGGAGAUUGCCAUGAUUCGAGCAAAUGUCAUGAAAGAUGAUGAGCAAACUAUGGCACGUUUCUUCAAUGGACUCAAUCACCCUAUCAAGAAGAUCGCCGACUUCCAACCUUACUCCAACCUCAUCGAGCUAGUGCAUAAAGCCACCAAGGCAGAGCGACAAGUGCAAGAUGACUUCCAAUAUGCCAAAUACUCUUCCAAGAACUAUGACUCCUCCAACCAAGCUUCAACGACUCCAUGGUGA